rnacentral:snoRNA from 1 species
UGUGUGUGUGUGUGUGUUUGUUCAAGGGCUGAACAAAGGCAUGAAAGACAGGCGCAAAAGUAAAUUCUUUUUUGCAGCCCAGAAACUCACUAUUCAGUAUGAGUUUUAAAACAGACAAGGAGUAUG